GCGGAGGAAAAGAAACUAACAAGGAUUGCCUCAGUAAGGGCGACUGAAGUGGCAAUAGCUCCCAAUGUGAAUCUGUUUCAGAAUUGUGGUUUCACCUGUGUCAGGGGCUAGGCCAAGUCCGUUGGAACACGGCAGCUGAGAGGGUGAGACUCCCGUUUGCCUGGCCCUUCAAACAGGUGUGUUUGAGUCGAGUUGUUUGGGAUUGCAGCUCUAAGACGGUGGUAAAUUCCAUCUAAAGCUGAAUAUUGGUGGGAGACCGAUAGCGUACAAGUACCGUGAGGGAAAGAUGCAAAGAAGCGCGAAAGCGCUGUUAAAGAGUACCUGAACUUGCUGAAACGGAAGCAAAGGAAACCAGUGCAAGCUUCGUCAUACUUCCCUGUCUGCUUGCAGUUGGGGCGCUGUGGCCAGCCUUGUCAGGCUUGAUUUGAGGCUAUGGAAGGGCAUGGAAAGAGUUGAUUUUCAUUGC
rnacentral:rRNA from 1 species